AUCGCUUCUCGGCCUUUUGGCUAAGAUCAAGUGUAGAAUGUCUCUUCAGAUCCUUUGUUCAUUUUCUUUCUUUUUUUUUUUUUAAUAUAUUUUAUUGAUUUUGUACAGAGAGGAAGGGAGAGAGAGAGUUAGAAACAUUGAUGAGAGAGAGUCAUCGAUCAGCUGCCUCUUGCACACCUCCU